CAUAAACAUAUUUCAAAUACUUCAAACAAAAUGAUUUUAACGUUUUCAUUUUAACCAAAAUGGUUUUUGAAGUAAGUUUCAAUUCUGGACAGCAUAAGAGAAUAAUCGAUUAUGGCAAAGUAUAUAAUCGAUUAUUCUGGGAAAUCCCAUUUAUUGGAAAUUUCCACAGAGUAAGAUAAUCGAUUAUACACUUGGACAUAAUCGAUUAUCUUAUAUCCGUUUCCUUCCCAAUGUUCCGUUUUAUGAACGUUGAGAAGAUAAUCGAUUAUGCAAAGUGAAUAAUCGNNN
rnacentral:lncRNA from 1 species